AAGGAAAGAGGGAGGCAGGCCUAACACAUGCAAGUCGAACGGUAACAGGAAGCAGCUUGCUGCUUCGCUGACGAGUGGCGGACGGGUGAGUAAUGUCUGGGAAGCUGCCUGAUGGAGGGGGAUAACUACUGGAAACGGUAGCUAAUACCGCAUAAUGUCGCAAGACCAAAGAGGGGGACCUUCGGGCCUCUUGCCAUCGGAUGUGCCCAGAUGGGAUUAGCUUGUUGGUGGGGUAACGGCUCACCAAGGCGACGAUCCCUAGCUGGUCUGAGAGGAUGACCAGCCACACUGGGACUGAGACACGGUCCAGACUCCUACGGGAGGCAGCAGUGGGGAAUAUUGCACAAUGGGCGCAAGCCUGAUGCAGCCAUGCCGCGUGUAUGAAGAAGGCCUUCGGGUUGUAAAGUACUUUCAGCGGGGAGGAAGGGAGUAAAGUUAAUACCUUUGCUCAUUAACGUUACCCGCAGAAGAAGCACCGGCUAACUCCGUG
rnacentral:rRNA from 1 species